rnacentral:lncRNA from 1 species
AAAUUCUUUUCAUUUUUAUCCCUAAUUUUUGCCCGAACCUUUUCUUUCUUUUUUUUGGUUCGCCGGGAUGCCCUUUUUUGCCAGGAGUUUUUUAUUCUUUUUGUCCAGCGGGUCACUUUAUGUGAAGUAUUUUUUGACUACAUCUGAGUUAACAGGGGACGGAAAAUCUUCAUCAUCCAUAGUUGUAAGCAUCAAGGCUCCACCAGAGAAGACCUUCUUCACAACAUAU